GGUGUAUAUAAAGGUGUGGUGUGUAUAGAGGUAUAUAUAGGUGUAUAUAGAGGUGUGUGUAUAUAGAGGUGUGUGUAUAGAGCUGUAUAUAGAGGUGUAUAUAGAGGUGUGGUGUAUAUAGAGGUGUGUGUAUAGAGAUGUAUAUAGGUGUAUAUAGAGUUGUGGUGUGUAUAGAGGUGCAUAUAGAGGUGUGAUGUGUAUAGAGGUGUAUAUAGAGGUGUGGUGUGUAUAGAGGUGCGUAUAGAGGUGUAUAUAGAGGUGUGGUGUGUAUAGAGGUGCGUAUAGAGGUGUAUAUAGAGGUGUGGUGUGUAUAGAGGUGUGUGUAGAGAUGUAUAUAGGUGUAUAUAGAGGUGUGGUGUGUAUAGAGGUGAAUAUAGAGGUUUGGUGUGUAUAGAGGUGUAUAUAGAGGUGUGGUGUGUAUAGAGAUGUAUAUAGGUGUAUAUAGAGGUGUGGUGUGUAUAUAGGUGUAUAUAGAGGUGUGUGUAGAGGUGUGGUGUGUAUAUAGGUGUAUAUAGAGGUGUGGUGUGUAU
ensembl:lncRNA